rnacentral:rRNA from 1 species
CCUACGGGUGGCAGCAGUGGGGAAUAUUGCACAAUGGGGGAAACCCUGAUGCAGCGACGCCGCGUGAGUGAAGAAGUAUUUCGGUAUGUAAAGCUCUAUCAGCAGGGAAGAAAAUGACGGUAACUGAGUAAGAAGCCCCGGCUAACUACGUGCCAGCAGCCGCGGUAAUACGUAGGGGGCAAGCGUUAUCCGGAUUUACUGGGGGUAAGGGAGCGUAGACGGCAGCAAAAGUCUGGAGUGAAAUUCCGGGGCUUAACCCCGGAACUGCUUUGGAAACUGUGCAGCGAGAGUGCAGGAGAGGUAAGUGGAAUUGCUAGUGUAGCGGUGAAAUUCGUAGAUAUUAGGAGGAACACCAGUGGCGAAGGCGGCUUACUGGACUGUAACUGACGUUGAGGCUCGAAAGCGUGGGGAGCAAACAGGAUUAGAUACCCUGGUAGUC